AUAUUAGAUUUCUAGAUGGUUAUUCUUCAGAUUUGGCUAGUUGUGUAGAUCUGGAUAAUGGAAAGUUUUCAGGCAUGAAGAGUCAUGAUUGUCAUGUAUUUAUGGAGCGACUACUUCCAUUUAUCUUUGCUGAACUCCUUGACCGGAAUGUCCACCUUGCACUAUCAGGUACAAUACUUACUAUUUUUUAUUCCAACAUUUUUUUAAUCUAAUCAUUUAACUUGCACAUAUAUUUUAGGAAUUAGAGCAUUUUUCCGAGAUCUAUGUUCGAGAACUUUACAGACAAGUCGCGUUCAAAUUCUCAAACAGAACAUAGUUUUAAUCAUCUGUAACUUGGAAAAGAUCUUUUCCACCAUCAUUUUUUUAUGUUAUGGAACACUUACCUAUCCAUCUCCCAUACCAAGCUGAAUUGGGUGGCCCAGUCUAAUAUAGGUGGAUGUACCCAUUCGAGAGAUU
rnacentral:sRNA from 1 species